GGCGAGGUUCGUAACUCAGUGGUGGGGCAUCUGUUCUGCAUGCAGAAGGUUCUAGGUUCAAUCCCCUGGCCUCUCCA